GACGAACGCUGGCGGCGUGCUUAACACAUGCAAGUCGAACGAAGAGCGAUGGAAGCUUGCUUCUAUCAAUCUUGGUGGCGAACGGGUGAGUAACGCGUAAUCAACCUGCCCUUCAGAGGGGGACAACAGUUGGAAACGACUGCUAAUACCGCAUACGAUCCAAUCUCGGCAUCGGGACUGGAUGAAAGGUGGCCUCUAUUUAUAAGCUAUCACUGAAGGAGGGGAUUGCGUCUGAUUAGCUAGUUGGAGGGGUAACGGCCCACCAAGGCGAUGAUCAGUAGCCGGUCUGAGAGGAUGAACGGCCAAAUUGGGACUGAGACACGGCCCAGACUCCUACGGGAGGCAGCAGUGGGGAAUCUUCCGCAAUAGACGAAAGUCUGACGGAGCAACGCCGCGUGAGUGAUGACGGCCUUCGGGUUGUAAAGCUCUGUUAAUCGGGACGAAUGGUUCUUGUGCGAAUAGUGCGAGGAUUUGACGGUACCGGAAUAGAAAGCCACGGCUAACUACGUG
rnacentral:rRNA from 1 species